rnacentral:rRNA from 1 species
AUGGAUAUCUGUGGGAAUUCUAGAGCUAAUACAUGAACUUUGGCGACGUUCCGCGGUCGGAUUCUGGGCAACCGGAGUUUGGUCUCGGGGUCGGCGUUCGUCCAAUUUAACUGAGGGACUCUCGUCCAAGUAGUUGUCAAACAAGGGUGAAUCCUGACGAACUUUUUUGCGAAUCGCACAGAUGCACCGACCGGCGUCCUCUCGGGGGCGUCGGACCAAUCGGGGCGGCGAUGGUUUGUAGGGUUUUCCGACUCAUCAGCCAUGUUGGUAAUCCAUGGGUUUACCAAGGCGUCGACGGGUGACGGAGGAUUGGGGUUUGAUCCCGGAGAGGGAGCCUGAGAGAUGGCUACCACUUCUAAGGAAGGCAGCAGGCGCGCAAAUUACCCAAUGCCAAAACGGUGAGGUAGUGACGAUCAAUAACGACACGGACUCUCUAAGAGGGUCCGUGAUCGGAAUGAGCUCGUGUUAGACGGCCGAGCGAGUAACGAUCGGAGGAAAAGUCUGGUGCCAGCACCCGCGGUAAUUCCAGCUCCGAUAGCAUAUAUUAAAGUUGUUGCAGUUAAAAAGCUCGUAGUUGGAUCCGAGGACUGCGGUCGUCGCGUUCGCCGCCACGAGUGGCGUGACGCGCGCCCAGUCCAAAACCGUCAGCGGGACGGCGGUCGGCAGCGGCUUCGGCGCGCACCGGCCGUCGUGGGUUCGCCCGACUCGCGCGGUUUACACCUGGAGCAAAUUAGGGUGUUCAAAGCAGGUGGCUCAUCAGAGCGCCUUGAAUAGGUCAGCGUGGGAUGUAACACGGAACCCAUUGUCUCUAGUCCGGCCGUCGCCUCUCGGGGUGACGGUGCUUCUGCUUGUUGGGUCGGUUCGCCGGCCCAAGGGUCUCUCAGAGAGUUUUUCAGUGGGAACGAUUGAUGAGGGUGGUCGGUGGCAUCAGUAUUUGCCCGUCAGAGGUGAAAUUCUUGGACCGGGCAAAGACUAUCAUCAGCGAAAGCAUUUGCCAAGUACACCUUUCUCAAUCAAGAACGAAAGUCGGGGGAUCGAAGAUGAUCAGAUACCGUCGUAGUCCCGACCGCAAACGAUGCCAACCAGGGAUCGGGGGGCGUCGCAUGGACGGCCCCCCCGGCACCCCCGGGGAAACCUAGAGUCUUUGGGUUCCGGGGGGAGUAUGGUCGCAAGGCUGAAACUUAAAGGAAUUGACGGAAGGGCACCACCAGGCGUGGGGUUUGCGGCUUAAUUCGACCCAACACGGGAAACCUUACCAGGUCCGGACUCCGUAAGGAUUGACAGACUAAGGGACCUUUCUUGAUCCUGAGGGUGGUGGUGCAUGGCCGUUCUUGGUUGGUGGAGCGAUCCGUCAGGUCAAUUCCGUUAACGAACGAGACCUCGACCCCCCAAAUAGUGACGCGUUGUCCUGCCAACUCGGGGUUCGUUUCCCUGCGGCGGUUGGCCGUCGUCGCCGUGGUUCUGCCGCGGUGGUGGCGGUCGCCGUCGUGACGGGGGCGACCUCGGUGGGACACGCGUUCGACUUCUUAGAGGGACGGCUCGCGCUUAGCGAGAGGAAGCUUGAGGCAAUAACAGGUCUGUGAUGCCCUUUAGAUGUUCUGGACCGCACGCGCACCACACUGGU